rnacentral:rRNA from 1 species
GACGAACGCUGGCGGCGUGCUUAACACAUGCAAGUCGAGCGGUAAGGCCCUUUCGGGGGUACACGAGCGGCGAACGGGUGAGUAACACGUGGGUGACCUGCCCUCAGCUCUGGGAUAAGCCUGGGAAACCGGGUCUAAUACCGGAUAUGACUCCAUGACGCAUGUUGUGGGGUGGAAAGCCUUGUGUGGCUAGAGAUGGGCCCGCGGCCUAUCAGCUUGUUGGUGGGGUGAUGGCCUACCAAGGCGACGACGGGUAGCCGGCCUGAGAGGGCGACCGGCCACACUGGGACUGAGACACGGCCCAGACUCCUACGGGAGGCAGCAGUGGGGAAUCUUGCGCAAUGGGCGAAAGCCUGACGCAGCGACGCCGCGUGAGGGAUGACGGCC